AACGUAGGAGACAAACGUUAUCCGGAGUUACUGGGCGUAAAGGGCGUGUAGGUGGUUUUGUAAGUCUGGCGUGAAAUUUUUCGGCUUAACCGGGAAAGGUCGUCGGAUACUGCAAGGCUAGAGGACGGUAGAGGCGUGUGGAAUUCCCGGUGUAGUGGUGGAAUGCGUAGAUAUCGGGGGGGAAUACCAGUGGCGAAAGCGGCACCCUGGCGUCGUACUGACGCUCAUGUGCGAAAGCGUGGGGAGCGAACGGG
rnacentral:rRNA from 1 species